rnacentral:rRNA from 1 species
GACGAACGCUGGCGGCGUGCCUAAUACAUGCAAGUAGGACGAAGUUGCGAACGGGUGAGUAACGCGUAGGUAACCAACUAUUAUAGGGGGAUAACUAUUGGAAUCGUUAGCUAAUACCGCUUACUAGUACAUGGACCUUCGUUGUAUUUGCGAGUAGGUAGGGUAAUGGCCUACCUAGGCAAAGAUACAUAGACGACCUGAGAAGGUGGUAGGGCACACUGGGACUGAGAGACGGGCCAGACUCCUACAGGAGGCAACAGUAGGGAAACGUCGGGCAUGGGGGGAAAGCUGACCGAGCAACGCCGGGUGAGGGAAGAAGGGUGUUGGAUCGUAAAGCUUUGUAGUUAAGUAAGCGGUACUUAACCAGAAAGGGACGGCUAACUACGUGCCAGCAGCCGCGGUAAUAC